UGUGUUUUUCUUCUACCCGCGACCCCCGUGUAAGACUUCGCGACCUCCCUGGGGGUCGCGACCCAUAGGUUGAAAAACACUGUCCUAAUAGAAUAACGAACCAUUCUAAGGCUGUUAUCUGUCAUGAUGACUGCAAUUACUUGUGAAAACUUGCCUUCUUAUAUCAUCUAUAAAACCAAAGGACUCUUUCAAUAGUGGUUCCGAGGGAGCAAUUUACAAUCGGACUCCAUCUGGAUGGUUAGAUAAAAUAUCCUUUGAAGAUUAUUUUAUAAAAUUUAUAGUGCUUACAGUAAGACAAAAGUAGGCAGAUUUUGUUGUUAUAUGUGAGAAUUUUUUCCUCGUAUUACAAACUCACGACUGAAAUAUUUCCUACAACAGCAAUACCAUUUCUAGGAAUGAUUAUAAUGUUAUUUACUUGAGGUUUUUCAAAGAAUGUGUCCGAAGCUUUUAUUCAGCAAUUGACCAAUUCACAAAACGAAUUGGAACCAGUUAAUAGUUUUCAAGACAAAAUUCCCACUUUAUCCAAUCAAAAUACUGUACAUAAGUGAUUCCUCAUUGUAGUAAAUUUCCUACUGAAAAAUCCUCCAUUUUCACUAUUCUGAAGCUAUCGAACUAUACAUAUAUUUGUUAUUUUCACAUAUAAUAUUAGGUCUAAUCAUCUUGUAGAAGUGAAUUAACUUACUUUCACGUGAUUCACUCGAUUGACAAUUCCAAAUUUGCAUAGUUAAAUGGUCUAAUCUUCUUUCUCUCUUUUUUUUUUUAAAUUAUAAUUUGUGAAUAAUUCACUUUAUUGAUUCAAAGAUAAACUUAAUUAUAUGUGGAGAAAUUUUCUUAAUUUAAAUGAAAUCAAACAUAACUGGAGUGUUUAAUAUUACGCUGUAAUAUGCAAAUAAGUUUUAGAUGAGUACAUUUCGUGGACAAUGGAUCAUUCGAUCGAUUUUUUGGUGUUUUUUCAACCUCUGCAAUUGUUAUUUUUCGUAUUCUGCACGAAUUUGGUGUAUUGUAUUUCGUACAUUUUAGCAAAAAAAAAGUAUAUUAUAAAGUACUUAAAUUUUGAAUGAAAAUACAAAGUGUGGGCGUAACAAAACGAAUUGUGUUAUGUUGGUAUACGGACGAAUAAGUGGAAAAUGCAUUCAUUCAACGUGGAACGUCAAGAAAACUAAAUUUCUACUUUUCUGAAUCGGAAGCGAGAAGACAUUUUUAAUGUAAAAUAAGUUUUAUGAUCACUUAAACUGGUUGUUUAAUAAUGGAAGCCAAUGAAACGACUUUUAACGAAAGAUUUUUGUAACUGCCACACACGAAAUCUUCCUCGCUCCUCGACGUUAUCAAAUCUCGAAGAGAAAAUUCACGGAAAACAGGAAGUGUGGCGGAGAAUGAGGGAUCGAUUUCUGUUACCAUGGCAACGACCUACAGGAAGGUCAAGCUAUAAGCUUACUUCAAGGUCAACAGUUGGUUUACAACUUGGCAGAAAUGUGAUCAGGCGAGCUUCCAUGCAUUACCUGUUUCGCUUAUCUGCUGCCGAACAUCCCCUUUCUUUUUGGCUUUUUGUCGGAGUGGGCCGCCAGUUCUCCUUCCGAAGAACCCUCCGAGGAUGUCGUUCUCGAUCUGUGGUCCACACUCAAGGGAUACUGGUGCGACUGGUAGUUGGGUACGGAGUGUGCGGGUAACGACAUGUGACGAGAUGCGUGAGUGGACAUUUCCGUGGCCGGAUAGGACUGGAAUUGCAAAAGAUAAUUUACAAGGAUACAAAUAAACACUUGAAAAAUCAAUGAAUUAAUUCAUCUAUAAUAUUGAAGAAUAGUUAAGAGAAAUUAUUAUACACAUCCAGUAAUCUAAGCCUUCGAACACUAGAUAAAUCUUUCAACUGCUGGAAAGAAGACUGAAAUUCUUGUAGUUUAGCUUCUACUUCUGUAGAUGCAAAAUGUCCAUUCCUUAUCAUCUGACGACCCUUGCUGACUACCGUAGCAAUUAAUGGCUCAUAUUAAAUUAUUUCCAAGAUCUGUAGACGAUGCUAAUGGCUCUUUUUCAUUAAUCCAUGAAAGUUCAUCUUCGAUAUCUCUAUAAAACUGUUGCAAUAAUAAAGCAUCUUCUAAAUUUUCUCUACGAAUCUGACCUGGUUCAUGAAGUGUUUGAUACCUGAUAAGAGAAGUCAGAUUCUUCCCGUGAUCUUCGGACUGCAAUUGAGUUUCGACUUCGUCCAUCCAGGCAUCUAUAUCUUCUAACAUCCGACUAAAUUGAAGAGCCUUUUAAAUAAAUAAAUUUAUUUAUUUGAUAUUUUGGG